GUAGAGGUCAGCCAACAUAGCCCCAUUGAAGAUUAUUCCCCAAUUCCUGCUGUGUGAUCACUACUAAGAGUCUUGAGUUGAAGACUCCUCCCAGGGCUGCCUGUCACUCAGCCCCCACCAGGACAUAUUGACACAACUCAAGUAACUUGAAGGAGUCUCUAUAUCAGCCACCUAACUCUGCCUUUCCUCCUUCAGGACGCACACAGAUCUCCUGAGCCUCCAUUUUCAGCCUGCAAGCUCCAGCUCCGUGAAUGGCAGCACCCUUUGUUGCUGCGCACACCUACGUCCUCUGUACCUUUUGGAUUCCUUGACUUUCCAGAAGAGUCCCCCAUGUCUGCUGCUUCCCCGAGGAUGCCUGCUGAGCCCCUGCAGGUUCUGACUCACCCUCCCCCUCCCCACCACUGCCACCAUGGCCAGGCCUCAUCCCCAGAGGAAGUGAUUCAGCACCCUGACUCUGCAGCCAGCUAUGAGCCUGCUGCCUGUGCAGCUUUGGGUUGCAUCUUAAAGCUCUAAGUGUCUUGCCAGAUGUGUCACUUCAUGCCAGGUCUACCACUGCCUUGCACUAACUCAAUGCAUCCUGAGGAAUAGGUCUCUUGUGCCCACCUCCCAUGGUACUAUUCUAGUCUCUUUUCUAGACAGCGCAAACACCAAGACUGCAGGGACCUUGUCUGUCUUGAUUCAAGCGCAUCCUUUGCAAAGGCAGGUGAUGUCAAUUAGUGUUUGUUGAAGGAACUGAAACCCUCCUUCUGGCCUCUGGGUCUCAGGCUCAAUGUCAACAAAGCCUCCCCAUGAGACUGGCCAGCAUCGCCCCUGGAUUUUCUAGUAUUUGGUCAAGGAGUUGCUGUUCUUCAAUUUCUGCUUGUCAGACUGCAAUGGAUGCAAUUCAGGCUCAAUUAUAGCCUGUGGAAGUGUAAGUGAAUGAAGUCCGCUCACCAUAGAGCCAAGUCUAGGAAAGAAGAGCAUCUUUUUCCUUUACAUAAAGGAGCUGCGGGGGCUGAGGACAACCUGCCCUCAUGGAUCUUGCUGUUUGAUGAUAGUUACCUAGUCCCAAGGGAGCCCUUCUAUAAUUAGCCAUUUUCCUUGCUACCCAACGCCUAGCUAGGAAACCACGGGACCCAGCCUAGAUGGAGGCACCUGGAUCAUUGCCCUGGACCCUGGAGUCUGCUGAGGUAUAAUGGCACCUUCUUCCUUGUCCUUGAUCUUCCCAGUUGUCCUCAGACAGAAGCAGCAGCCCCCUCGAGGCUCUCCUGGACACACACCCUUCCUUUGGACUCCUCUCCCCAAGGGGCUGCUCUAACAUCCCACUCUGUCAAAACAUGGAAACAACGGUGUCCUUAAUGGAGUGUCUGUGGUCUGAAGCCAAGAUAGAUGCUCAGCCACCAGAACCUGAUGGUCUUGAGGAGAAAGUUGAAGGGCAAACCUAACCCUGGGAAAGAAUGCUUUCUAGCAGUGUGGAGCAAGGGUCACAGUGGUUUCUGGGUUUGGCGGCUAAGGAUCUUGGAGAUAUUUGUUAAUAAAUGCUCAUUAGACCUGCAUCCUACAAAGACCUGAAGGGCAGUUUGGGCAGCUGUUCAGAGGCCACUAGAUGCUUAAAGGCUGUUUAUUCCAUAGGACUAUGAUACAUACCUAAGCUCCACUCUUGCCUUCAGUCAUAAAAGUUGAGGGGUAGAAAAUUUGCCCCUUUCUUUGGUAGAUAGGAAAAAAGGUCCAGGUUGUGAAACCCCAUAGAGAGCGUUUUGGAAAGCAAGGGUCAGUGUGAGGGCAGUACCAGGAAAAUGAGGGGGAAGAGGUACAGCUAGGGCCUCAAAGCUACUUUCCCAGGACCCCUGGCCCUAACGCCCCACCCCCACCAACUCAGCCUUUGUCUGAUUUGCUCCCUGCGACAGCUGGGAAGGCUAAGCCUCACCCUGGCUCUGCCAUCAGCCAUCUCUGUGUGGCACUAAAGAUCAGCUCGGGCACCAGGCCCCGGCAGCAGGCUUGGCAGGUGGCUCAGCGUUGCCAGGGAGACCACAGAGGAGGAAAGCUGUUCCACAAAGCUACAGAAGGCCAGAUGGCCCAGGGUCCCAGAGGUGCUUUUCUUGGGAACCACAACCUUGUGUACAUACUGAUAGAGUCUCAGAGGGAUGCAAUUGCUAGGUCCAUGAGAGGACUGAGGUGCGGAGCUUGGAUAACCAACUCAUUGGGGAUGGGUGUUGAGGAGCUGAGAACCAGAGCCAGGGCUCUGUCUCACCCUGAGCUCUGACAACCAGGUACAUAGACAGAGGAACACACAGGCCUGUGUACUUACAUGCAGGUUUUCCCCUGAUAAGACUCCAGACUUUAUUAAAGUUCCCUAUUAAACUUGCUCCCAGGAAUAGCUAGAAUGGGACAGCUGGAGACUGAGUGAGUCUCCAAGCCCAGAUGUGCAUGGAGCCAAUGAUCAAAUACAGAGAUGGAAGCUGCAUGCUGGCUGGGACCCAGAAAAGGAGUGCUGAGACAAGGUAGAUGAAGAAAGUCAAGGACUAUGCCCAGCAAACCUUGAGCUGGCUUUGCCUUAGAACUGGGAAGAUAUGUUAAUGGGGCCAAGGAUGAAGCCCUUCAGAAAGGCUGACCUAGCCCUGACCUCCUGUAAUUGAAGAUGGGAUCAGGUUUGGGGGUGGCAAGGUGAGACUAAAAUAAAAAAGAGCCCAUUUCAGUCUGAAGAUGUUGGGUCUUUUGAGACCUCUGGCAAUCUACAUGGAAGGAACCCAUUAUCCUCAAGGUGACUAUGGCUGAAAGUGCUAGUCACAGUGGCUCAGCCCUAUCUUCAGGAAAGAUACAAAUCUCCUCCUAGCCCAGGGUUCAGAAAUGCUGAUCAGCAAGCCAGAGCCCUGGCCCAGGCUCUGAACAGACUUGCCUAGGAGUCCCCUUAAGUGGCAGGAACCUAAGAUAGAGGUGAGGGAACCUUGGUAAGGGACAGGGAAGUAUGAGAACCUUCCCAAAGAGGUGGAGAGGACAGCCAAACUCAAACUUUCUACACAAGAUCUGGAAAUGCCCAGCUCAUCCCGAGGCAAGGCUGCUGAUAAGCCUUUCCAGUGGAGCUAGAGAAAGCUGGCUUCCUGCUCUUCUUCAAUCUGACACUUAGGCAUAAAUUAAAUGGGAAGAGGAUCUGGGCUGAUCCUUAGGGUUUAUGUAACUGAGCUAAAUUACUCCACAGCCCUCUCUGUGGUGCAAACAGAAAUCCCCACCUGCUGGAGAUUGUCACACAGGCAGCCUGAGCUCCCCAGAGAGCUGGAAGCUGCCUGCAGCCUGGGGCCUCCCGCCCUCAGACCCCGCAUGCUGCUGGAGCUGUCAGCCCUGCUCCCAAACAGGCUGAUUAUCCCCAUCUGGGGAAAACAAAACAUGUCAGCCUUGUGCCUGAAAAGAGGCCUGUCUCUUUAGUGAGACAUAAUAUGAAGAAGCUCCCAGCUUUGCAUCUGCCAUGUGAUGUGGAUGAGCAACCUCAGCUUUCUCGUUUUUUUUUGAAGAAAGAAAGAAAGGAAGGAAGAAAGAAGAAAGAAAGAAAGAAAGAAAGAAAGAAAGAAAGAAAGAAAGAAAGAAAGAAAGAAAGACAAAGUUGAAGGGGUAGGGAUGUGAGAAAUAUCUGGGAGGGAGGAGCUGGGGUAAUGGAAAGAAUGUGAUCAAAAUAUAGUACAUGAAAAACAUUUUAAAUAAAAAUAUAUAAAAUAUA